GCACUGCUGAAGAGUCUUAUAUUUGGACGAAACGGCCGUCCAGUGU
rnacentral:hammerhead_ribozyme from 1 species